GGAGGAAAGUAGGGGAUCGCAAGACCUUGCGCUCUUGGAGCGGCCGAUGUCUGAUUAGCUAGUUGGUGAGGUAAAGGCUUACCAAGGCGACGAUCAGUAGCUGGUCUGAGAGGACGACCAGCCACACUGGGACUGAGACACGGCCCAGACUCCUACGGGAGGCAGCAGUGGGGAAUUUUGGACAAUGGGGGAAACCCUGAUCCAGCCAUGCCGCGUGAGUGAAGAAGGCCUUCGGGUUGUAAAGCUCUUUCAGCCGGAACGAAACGGUCACGGCUAAUACCUGUGACUACUGACGGUACCGGAAGAAGAAGCACCGGCUAACUACGUGCCAGCAGCCGCGGUAAUACGUAGGGUGCAAGCGUUAAUCGGAAUUACUGGGCGUAAAGCGUGCGCAGGCGGUUUUGUAAGUCAGAUGUGAAAUCUCCGGGCUUAACCUGGGAACUGCGUUUGAAACUACAAAGGCUAG
rnacentral:rRNA from 1 species